UUGGAGGCGGAGAGUGAAAAUGGCGGCCUCCCAAUCUCCGCCCCAGAGGAGCCGAGAACUCGGGCCCGCUCCUCAGUGAGCCCCCAGAGAAAAGCCGUCAGUCACUCCCGUCUCCCCGGUCUGCAGCUGCACUCCGUGCUCAACCGGCCUGUGACCACGCGUUUCUAUCUCUGGCACCGGACCCGGUCUGGAGUCUCCAAACCCAGCAGAUCCCUGCGGUGCACUCCCGCGCGGCUCCUCCCGGGGGAGGAAGGUGAGUCUCCCCGGAUCGGCCGCUUGUUGGGUCCCUGCUGGAGGAGCAGGGGCCCGACUGGGCCGCGGAUCGAGGUUAAUGGCAACCCCAGCUGAGAGCCCGCGCCUGGGCUCCGCCUCUGCAGCCGGCUUCCCUGCUGCGUUACCUGGGAGCUCUGCUGCCCUCAGGCACCCCCGGUCUUUCUGUGACCCCGAGGGUCCUGAGACCACACUGUCCCGGAGGGUUCCACCCCCCGCUGAGCCACCAGAGUGACGUCCCUCGGCGGAGCAGACUUUCAAAAGUUCCGAUUUUGUGCUCCGCGGCUCUAUCACUCGCCAGAAGCGGCCGACGGAGGCCCCUCCCCCGCCGUCUAUCCUCCCGAAUAUCGCCUCGGAUUCACUUCUCCGCACGUCCUACCUUCCAGAAAGUGGUCGCUUUUCUGCUGAGACAGCAUUCUUGUCUUUAAAUACAGUGCAUAUUUUCAGGAGAGAGAUACAUGUCACAGACACAUGCACAAGAGCACGGUCUGAAUGCUCUGGAAGGACCUGGACAGCACUCUACUUGCUAUUUGCUUUCUCACCUUCUUCAGGGAGUUCACAUCACAUCUCGAUGCAUUUGGGAAACGGAGCAAGGCCUGCUGUGUCUCUGACAAAUCUUCACUUGCCCAUGGACGGCUCCAUGUCAAAUUCUUACAAGACUUCAAACUCAACGUGUGCAACAUGAUCUCCACAGUACCCCUUUCCGACUAUAAUAUUUUUGUUACUUUUAUACUAUUUUGUCACUUUUGUUAAUGAUAAAACCUUCUGCCCG